rnacentral:rRNA from 1 species
GUACACGCUGUGACUAGCAUAUCAUAAGCGGAGGAAAAGAAACUAACAAGGAUUCCCCUAGUAACGGCGAGUGAAGCGGGAAGAGCUCAAAUUUGAAGUCUUAAAGGGUUUCCCUUUACGAAUUGUAGUUUAAAGAAGUGUUUUCUGUUGAGGUUUUGGUAAAAGUUCUUUGGAAUAGGACAUCAUAGAGGGUGAGAAUCCCGUAUUUGACCUUUACUUUCAACUUUGUGAUACACUUUCAAAGAGUCGGAUUGUUUGGGAAUGCAGUCCAAAAUGGGUGGUAAAUUUCAUCUAAAGCUAAAUAUUGGCGAGAGACCGAUAGCGAACAAGUACCGUGAGGGAAAGAUGAAAAGAACUUUGAAAAGAGAGUUAAACAGUACGUGAAAUUGUCAAAAGGGAAGCGUUUGACACCAGUGUUGUUUUUCUGAAAAUCAAUUAAAGAACUGUUUAUGCUAAGUUGUUUAGACUUUAUCAGCUAACUGUUUAGUUUUGAGCUUUUCUUUAAUGCACUUUUCAGUUAACAAGUCAACAGUCAAUUUCUUUUGCUGUAAAAAAGCUUGAGGAAGGUGGCUUGAGAUUCGUCUUAAGUGUUUAUAGCCUCUUGCCUAUGCAGUCGGAGAGAUUGAGGUCUGCAGCGUAGAUCCUUCGGGGCUAAAUGCAUUUGUGCUAAGUUAUAGCAUUUUAUAGACAACUUGUUGACUAUGAUUUGUCUUGUAGCUUACUCGCUUAUGUUAUUUUACCUACGCUUAGGAUGUUGACAGCAGUAUAGACUGU